rnacentral:rRNA from 1 species
ACGACUACAUAUCAGGCAUAUCAAUAAGCGGAGGAAAAGAAACUAACUAAGGAUUCCCCUCAGUAACGGCGAGUGAAGCGGGAAGAGCUCAAAUUUGAAAUCUUAAAGGUUUCUACCUUGACGAAUUGUAGUUUAAAGAAGUGUUUUCGGUUAGAGGAGUUUAGGUAAAAGUUCUUUGAAUAGGACAUCAUAGAGGGUGAGAAUCCCGUAUUUGACCUAUUAUUUCCUAGCUUUGUGAUACACUUUCAAAGAGUCGGAUUGUUUGGGAAUGCAGUCCAAAAUGGGUGGUAAAUUUCAUCUAAAGCUAAAUAUUGGCGAGAGACCGAUAGCGAACAAGUACCGUGAGGGAAAGAUGAAAAGAACUUUGAAAAGAGAGUUAAACAGUACGUGAAAUUGUCAAAAGGGAAGCGUUUGACACCAGUGUUGUUUCUACGAAAAUCAAUUUAUGAUGGCUUGAUGCUAAGCUUUAAGACUUUAUCCGCUUGUUGUUUAGUUUUCUUGUCUUUGUGAAUGCACUUUUCGUGGAACAAGUCAACAUCAAUUUCUUUUGCUGUAAAAGGGUAAGAGGAAGGUGGCUUCGGCUUCGGUUGAAGUGUUUAUAGCCUUUUAUCUCUGCAGUCGGAGAGAUUGAGGUCUGCAGCGUAGACUCUUCGGGGUUAGAUACGUCGGUGCUAAGCUAUAGCUUUUCAUAGACAACUUGUUGACUAUGUUUAGUCAUGUGGCUUACCCGCUGGCGCUAUUUUACCUACGCUUAGGAUGUUGACUGAUAUGUAGUCGUA